GCUCACACCAUUACUAGAAUUUGACGAGGGAGAAUACUGGCCAAAUAUUGCUCAAAUUCCCACCAUUGUGAUUGAUCGGGAGUUCCUAUGAUGAUUAAAACAAAUGGCUCUCCAACUGAUAAACGGGAGUUUGGAAGGAUUCACAAUGGCAAGCCUGAUUCCUGAAGUUUUCUAGGGGGAAAGUCUCAAAUGGGAAAUAAAGUUGGCACUUUGAAGAUUUUGAAGCUAGAAUUUGUGAGCUCUCUCUUUGUCUACACAAAUUUCAAACGGCCUGUUAUAGCUUCAAGGUAAUCGUCUUCGGAAAUUUGAAUUCUUUUGGUUCUUAUUUUAAUCUUGCACAAAAGUGUAACAUUUACCCUUUGUUUGGA